CACAGGGAACAAGCCCAGCGUGACACCAGCAACACUUCUGAAGAUUAUAUUGAAUGUGCCUCGGUGGAUUGGCUGGGAAGCUCCAAGCAACCACCACCCCAGACAGAAGAGACGUCGACAUACAUGAACAUGGAUCUGCAGCGGGACAGAUGUCAUUAAUGCUCCAAUUGCUGUAAUGCAGAACUUGUCAAUGCGCAGCCACAUCACAGAACCUCCCAAAAUCAGAGGCAACUGUAGCCCAGGCUGUACAUCAAGGACAUGGGG